rnacentral:rRNA from 1 species
GGGGGCAACCCCUUGAGAGUGGCGAACGGGUGAGUAAUGUAUCGGAACGUGCCCCGUCGUGGGGGAUAACGUACUGAAAAUUACGCUAAUACCGCCUACUAUCUAUGGAUGAAAGCGGGGGAUCGCAAGACCUCGCGCGAUUGGAGCGGCCGAUAUCAGAUUAAGUAGUUGGUGGGGUAAAGGCUCACCCAGCCAACCAUCUGUAGCUGGUCUGAGAGGACGACCAGCCACACUGGAACUGAGACACGGUCCAGACUCCUACCGGAGGCAGCAAUGGGGAAUUUUGGACGAUGGACGCAAGUCUGAUCCACCCAUUCCGCGUGCAGGACGAAGGCCUUCCGGUUGGAAACUGCUUUUGUACGGAACGAAAAAGCUCUUAUUAAUACUAGGAGUCCAUGACGGUACCGAAAGAAUAAGCACCGGCUAACUACGUGCCAGCAGCCGCGGUAAUACGUAGGGUGCAAGCGUUAAUCGAAAUUACUGGGCGUAAAGCGUGCGCAGGCGGUUAUAUAAGACAGAUGUGAAAUCCCCGAGCUUAACUUGGGAACUGCAUUUGUGACUGUAUACCUAGAGCACGGCAGAGGGGGAUGGAAUUCCGCGUGUACCAGUGAAAUGCGUAAAUAUGCGGAGGAACACCGAUGGCGAAGGCAAUCCCCUGGGCCUGUACUGACGCUCAUGCACGAAAGCGUGGGGAGCAAACAGGAUUAGAUACCCUGGUAGUCCACGCCCUAAACGAUGUCAACUGGUUGUUGGGUCUUCACUGACUCAGUAACGAAGCUAACGCGUGAAGUUCACCGCCUGAGGAGUACCGCCGCAAUGUUGAUACUCAGAGGAAUUGACGGGCACCCCCCACAGCGGAGGAUGAUGUGGUUUACUUCGAUGCCACGCGAAAAAUCUUACCCACCUUUGACAUG